GCGUUGCCCAUAACGUGAGCAAUCUAUUGCACAUGGCAGAGUGGAUGUAAGGGGACUUAGGAAAAGCAGUCGGCGAAUUGGUGACAGUGAUGACCAGCGAGGAUUCAUCGAAAACGAAUGGGCAAAGGGCACCACCACCGGCUUUCAAAUAACGACUAUUAUCUAACAAAUGACUAACUUCGAGGGUAUUGUUUUGCGUUACGACAAAUUGUAUAACGACGAGAGAACGAACGAGAAUCGACCGCACGCGUGCUAACAUAAGAUACACGCACGCGAGAUACGCGAACUUUCCAAACAUUUUAAAUUUGAAUGACCAAUAACAAGAAGAAAAAGCCUGGCUCUAAACGCAUAUCAUAGAGAGAGGGAAAAUAUCGCGAAAAAAUGCAGGGUCAGGGUAAGUCGCCGCGCAAGUGGUUUUGGGUAUUUUAUAAGUUUUGAUAUACAACGUUGUAUAGCUAAAUUAUAAUAUCGAAUUUAAGACGAUUAUGGUUUUCGGCUAACGGCGGCGCCCUGAAUGUUAAAUUUUUCUCCACUUUAAAAACUACAUACAUAUUGACACGUCAUAUCAUUGAGAUGAAAAAAAGAAGAUUGUAAUCAUACGAGAAAAUCGAAAUCGAGUCAGUUGUUAUUUAAUGCUUGCUAGUUUAACAAAAGAAAAAAAUACAUACGAAGGUGAUGAUGAAACGUGUAACGGUUAUAAGAGAAUUAAACGAACGGAAAUAUCAUUAACAAUGCAUGCAAAAGCAAUGUAUCAAAUCACGUGCAUACUCUAUUAUAGAUCGUAGACUAAUACUUACAUUACCCAUUCUGUUCACUGCCAUGGACUCUUCCUCGACAUUAAACGAAAAGGAAACAACAAUACACGAUACGAUAUGUACAUGUUAUAUGAAAUCUAGAUGACACAGUAUAAAG